CCGCCGAUGGUGGCGCCGCCGCUCGCUCGCUGGGGCCGCGGCUCGGUGACUGCGCUGGGCGCGGACGCUCCUCGCUCCCUCGCUCGGCGGCUCCUGGGACCCCAAGAUGGCGGCGGCGCUGAGGCGGCUGCGGGCGCUGGGCCGGCGGCGGCGGCGGCCACUUUCACUCACUGAGAGGAGCGGAGCAGGGACACGGGGAGCCAUGGCGGGGGGGAGGAGAGGCGCCAUGGCCAGGCCUGAACAAUCGAGCCGCCGCUCGGCCGGCACGUCGUCGACCCUCCCGCGCCCCCUGCCCGCCGCUCGCCCCGUGACAGCCGUCACGGCCACGGCUACCCGCUUCGCACAGCUCGCGCUCCACUACUGCCGCCUGACGCCCCUCGCAGAUCGGGGUUCGAGGUGAUCCUGAUCUAUGUUAUCGGUUUACAGAUUGGUUGGGGCUGGGACUGGCGGAGAUUGCCGAAAGGCUGCGGGGAGGAGGAGGACGUAGCCAGGGUGAGCCAGCAGAUCUCGCGCUUGCAGAUGUCGCGAGAGUUCACAUGUUCGGCAACUGCCGAGGGAGGAUUCCUGUGACCGGAAGUGAUGUCAGCUAGAGGCAAAGGGUCUUUAGAAUAUUAAAUCAACCGAGUUGCUCUACCUCGCCACACUCCCCUCCCCCCGUUAAAUUCUGUGACUAUAAACAACUAGUUGGGAAAGUGAGAACUUCCGGUCUGUUCCCUCCCACUUGCCUUAGGCGACGUAUAGAGAGUCCCCAGACUCCUUGGAGCCAUCCCUGUGGACCCAAAGUUCCCUUUCGAUUUCAUAAAGCUGGGGUCAGUCAGGAAAACAUGUGUACCAACUUCAGAGGCCUAUAGUGAGAGAUAACAUGGUGGGAAAAACAUCCAUUUCUAUAGCAAUGAUAUCUUCAACUAAUGUUCAAUUCUUCACCUGUUGUCACCUUCUUGACCUACGCACAAUGAAUCCAAGAUGUCUUCUCCCCAACUUUUAUAGCAAUGGGUACUGUUAAUAAAAUUUGAUAAGGACCAUCCCAA